AGGAAAACACAGGGACCCAGUAAUCUCUGCUUCUCCAAAGCCGGAAUAGCAUGUCCCCCAGCCUCUUCCACAGUGAGCCACCCUGGGCCUCCACACUCAGCAGCACAGAACUGGUUAUCUUCUGUGCCACAGAGAUCUACUGGGCACCUACUGUGUGCUGGGCUCUGCACUGGAUGUAAACAAACCUUCAGCUGGUGUGCAUUUUCCCCACUGCUGUGCCAUCACUUGCGGCUGACCAGGUGUGUGAGAGAGGUGCCAGACCUGGGUUCGGAUUCCAUUCUAUUUUUUACCCUAUGCAAAAUCGGACAUGCCAGCUAACCUCUCUGAGCUGAAGUUCCCUCAUCAGUAAAGUGGAGGUGACAAAAUCUGCUCCGAAGCCUUCAGAGAUGAAAUGAGCUGAUGUUAGGGGCUCAGCCUGGAUCACAGUGCGUGCUCAACAAACCUCCUUUGAGACUGCUAUUAUUUAGGACACAACUGUCUAUUAAAUAAGUGGUCCCUUGGACACAGGACACAGAGAAGAGGUCCUGCUCCCAGAUGUUUCUCUGACAGUUCAGAGCCAUGUGUGUGUGUGUGUGUGUGUGUGUGUGUGUGUGUUUGUUGAGAGACAAUGUUAUCACUGUGGAAGGCCUGGCCAGGAGAGUGGCCAGCUCACUUCGCUUCUCCAUUGCUCCGUGGCCUGCCAGUGGCCUGCCAAUCACCGAUGUGCCUUUCUCUGCUGCACCAAGAUCUGGUGACUGUGAGGGGAACAUUAAGGCUCUCUCUGCCUUGCUUCCACAUAAAUAAUUCAGUGACGCUAACGGUCUCUAUCACACAGAGCUAUUACGAGAUUAGAUAUAUAAGAUAUAGAGUUGUGCUGGCUCUCAAAUGUACCGUGUAGCCCAGGCUGGCUCUGAAAGACACCAUGUAGCCCAGGCUGGUCCUGAACACAUGGCAAUCCUUCUGCCUCAGCCUCCUGAGUGCUGGGAUCAUAGACACAAGUCAUUAUGCUCAUAUAAUGCUUGAAAAAGAUGUGGUUUUAUUAUUUUUAACU
rnacentral:lncRNA from 1 species